GUUUCCUAGAAUAGCUGGGCCUUUGAAGGGUCGUGCUUGGUUAGUGCUUGGAUGGGAGACCGCCUGGGAAUCCUGGGUGCUGUAAGCA
rnacentral:rRNA from 14 species